rnacentral:rRNA from 1 species
UACGUAGGGGGCAAGCGUUGUCCGGAAUCAUUGGGCGUAAAGCGCGUGUAGGCGGUCCGGUAAGUCGGCUGUGAAAGUCCAGGGCUCAACCCUGGGAUGCCGGUCGAUACUGCCGGACUAGAGUUCGGAAGAGGCGAGUGGAAUUCCCGGUGUAGCGGUGAAAUGCGCAGAUAUCGGGAGGAACACCAAUGGCGAAGGCAGCUCGCUGGGACGUUACUGACGCUGAGACGCGAAAGCGUGGGGAUCAAACAGGG